AUCUUGAUUGUUCUCUAACUUCGAUGCUUGAACACUCCACCACAGACCGGUUGGAUUUGUUCUUCACAAUCUUCGAUCAGACAGUAAAAUAAAGGCGAAGGAAUAAAAUACUAUGAUCUAACGUAAGGUUAGAUCUAGUUAAAGUUACACAAUAGUUUCCGGUGUAGAAACUAUUGUGAGAAAAUUAAUUGAAUGCCUAAAAAAUUAAACUAACAAAGGAAAUAAAUUGCUGAAGAAAAAUAUGGAAUGCUGAAAAAAAUAUAAUGCUGUAAAAAUAAUGGCAACAGAAACAAGGUUGCUGAAAAAGAAAAAAAAUGCUAAAAGCUAGAAAGCUGAAAACUAAAUUGCAGAGCGUAAAAAAUGUAAAAGUAGGUCGUCCCCAAUUUUUCCCAUUUGGGUCCUUUAUAUAGUGUUCAUUUGGUCUUAGUGGUUGAGAAAAUCAAGGGAGACUUGGUUUUGGUGGUUGAGAAAAUCAAGGGAGACUUGGUUUUGAAUGAGGGAUCCGUGGAGAAAAG
rnacentral:lncRNA from 1 species